rnacentral:tRNA from 1 species
GAGGGUAUAGCUCAAGAGGUAGAGUGCAUGCUUAGCAUGCAUGAAGUCCUGGGUUCAAUUCUCAGUACCUCCU